CACCGCAUCUUUAUAAAGGGCCGCCUUGGGGCGCGAAAGGUUCGUGAGGUGUAGUCGCGGCAACUAGGAGGUGCACCCACCACUAGAAUUUGAACAUCCUAAGAACAGGUAUUUUUGUCUCUGCUUUGCUGAUGUAUCCUCAGCAACCGGAACUGCCUGACAUGCCCAGUUCUGGUGAUGAUUUCACUUUUGACAGAAGCUGUCCCUCAAAAGCAAACAUGCAAUAGAAGAAACAGAUCUCAAUGCCAUCCAUCUGCAGUUGUGACAAGCAAAAAAGUCUCCAGACAUGGCCAAAUGUCCCCUGGGGGGCAAAAUCACCCCCCAGUUGAGAACUACUGCUCUAAACUAUGGAGUCUCACUCUGUCACCCAGGAUGGAGUACAGUGGCGUGAUCUCGGCUCACUGCAAGCUCCGCCUCCUGGGUUCAUGCCAUUCUCCUGCCUUAGCCUCCCGAGUAGCUGGGACUACAGGCGCCCGCCACCACGCCCGGCUAAUUUUUGUAUUUUUAGUAGAGACAGGGUUUCACCGUGUUAGCCAGGAUGGUCUCGAUCUCCUGACCUCG
rnacentral:antisense_RNA from 1 species